rnacentral:tRNA from 1 species
AGAGGUAAAGCAUUUAUGCUGAUGCACAUCAUUUACGUUGAUAUUAAACUAAUGUAUAGUUGCUUCUU